CCUACGGGAGGCAGCAGUGGGGGAUAUUGCACAAUGGGGGGAACCCUGAUGCAGCGACGCCGCGUGGGUGAAGAAGCGCCUCGGCGCGUAAAGCCCUGUCAGCAGGGAAGAAAAUGACGGUACCUGAAGAAGAAGCCCCGGCUAACUACGUGCCAGCAGCCGCGGUAAUACGGAGGGGGCAAGCGUUAUCCGGAUUUACUGGGGGUAAAGGGGGCGCAGACGGCGAUGCAAGCCAGGAGUGAAAGCCCGGGGCCCAACCCCGGGACUGCUCUUGGAACUGCGUGGCGGGAGUGCGGGAGGGGCAGGCGGAAUGCGUGGGGGAGCGGUGAAAUGCAUAGAUAUCACGAGGAACACCGGUGGCGAAGGCAGCCUACUGGAGUGCAACUGACGUUGAGGCCCGAAAGCGUGGGGAGCGAACAGGAUUAGAUACCCGGGUAGUC
rnacentral:rRNA from 1 species